UACAGCCACAUCACGUUGGAACAUCGGUUCCUGUACGGUCACCGAAGUUAAGCAAAGACGUGCCUGCAUAGUACCUACAUGGGUGACCGCAUGGGAAUACCAGGUGGUGG